CGGUGCAAGUCGCACAUCACUGGAGGAAUUACCAGCGCCCUCAAGCCAAAUUCACUGCCUCCAGGGGCAAUGUCGUUUAUGACGCCAGGAGCAGCCGUAGAAGUGGGAUCCGUACAUGGGCCCAUUUAGAGACCUGGGGCCAGCAGAGUUGUCUGACUGGGCCUUCAAUAUGCAGGGAUCGAGGGAAUCGGGUUAUCUGUGUCAUGGCAUAGGGAGUAGAGUUAAGUCUUCUUAAGUCAAACUUUCGCUAGAUGCAUGCCUUCUACAGUUAGGUUUAACAAAAGUAGGACAGUAGACCACCCACCAGUGACAUCCUUGUCAUUAACUCACUGCUGCCGACCUUUUUUAAAAUUUAGUUUUCAUCGUUUUAAUGCAACCAUUUAUGUCAAUCUAGUGGCCACUAUAUGCAGUAUAUUUACAACACUAUGAUAUCAUACUUCUCAUGAUAUGCAGUUGACUAGGUAUCUCUCUUGUGAUGUGAAGGAGCAACUUGAAGGUUAAUUCUGCCUAUAAUCAGCAAAGUCAAUCUCCUCACAACUGUUGUGUUGAUAAUUGGUAAAUCACUUAUCACUUAGUAGACGAGGACCUCAUGCCAGCUUCUUCAGUUAUCUAGCUUAAAGGGACACUCCAGGCACCCAGACCACUUCUGCCCAUUGCAGUGGUCUGGGUGCCAACUCCCACUACCCUUAACCCUGCAAGUGUAAAUAUUGGUGGUCUCAGGUAAGUCACUGAAGGGGUUUUCACCCCUUCAGCAGUAUGAGAUGGGUGGUGGGAGGGGACCUGCAGUGCCAGGAAAACGAUUUAAUAAAACCAUUCUUCAUACUAUUGUAAAAUUGUGCAUUGUAUUUACAUAGGUUAGCAGGUUAAAAAUAAUCUUAACACUUUAACUGUUAUAUUUUGCAAUGUUUUAGUUCUGUUAAGCUGCCAUCACUUUUUCUUUCUAUUGUUACCAUGCCAGAACUGUAAGCAUAUAUAGACCAAUCAGGUGCCUAUGUCAUAUACUUUAAAA